rnacentral:rRNA from 1 species
AGAGUUUGAUCCUGGCUCAGGAUGAACGCUGGGCGGCGUGCUUAACACAUGCAAGUCGAACGAAGCAAAUUUCUUGCUUGCAAGAAAUUGACUUAGUGGCGGACGGGUGAGUAACGCGUGGGUAACCUGCCUCAUACAGGGGGAUAACAGUUGGAAACGACUGCUAAGACCGCAUAACCCGCUAGUGUCGCAUGACACGGACGGAAAAUAUUUAUAGGUAUGAGAUGGGCCCGCGUCUGAUUAGCUAGUUGGUAAGGUAACGGCUUACCAAGGCGACGAUCAGUAGCCGACUUGAGAGAGUGAUCGGCCACAUUGGGACUGAGACACGGCCCAAACUCCUACGGGAGGCAGCAGUGGGGAAUAUUGGACAAUGGGGGAAACCCUGAUCCAGCGACGCCCGCGUGAGUGAAGAAGUAUUUCGGUAUGUAAAGCUCUAUCAGCAGGGAAGAUAAUGACAGUACCUGACUAAGAAGCCCCGGCUAACUACGUGCCAGCAGCUGC